UUUGAAACCCUCCCGGCCGGCGUGGAGAGCUCAUUCCUGGGCUGGAGCCGGCCCUCAGCACCCCGCCACAGGCUCUAACAGAUGCUGGCGGUGUUUCAUAUGUUUCCAAAACGUAAUACUUGUUUGUAUCUUGUACAGCCAACUAGCCUUUAUUCUGGACUCAGUACAAUUUACCAAAAGUAAAGAGACAUUAUACAGAUGAAGUAAGCACAAGAUAACUUACUGGAAGACACGGAAUUAUCAUGAGAACCAGAACAAGAGAGCCUGAUAACAGUCAUGUGAAAAUAACAGUUAAAAAGUAUGUAUGUAUAAUAGAAAUAAAAAUAUAUUAGAAUUAGUGUAACUCACUGUGAUCCAAACAAUAAAUCAGCCAUAGCUGAUUAGUAAAUAUGACAUGAGGUCUGGGAGUUUUUAAGUUUCAUUCUUUUAUUACAUUUUUUUCUUAGAUCUGUUAAAAGGUCACCAUGGCAGCCUGUGUGUCUCCAACAUCAGCUACACAACGCAGCGUCCAUUUGGAUCAUUGGUGACAGCUACGUGAGGCGUGGUGCCCAGAGAGCUGCAGAGACUGUCGGACACAACCUUGGCCUCCCUGACGUCUGUGUCUCCUGGUUUGGUUGGGGCGGACCAUCGACAUACAUACAUGUGCCGACACUUUGCGCCCUGUUUUAUAAAAUGUAGUGUUAAAAAUAAAUGUUUUUGCUCAA